AUCGCCUCCAGGGGGAUGUCACGUGCAGGUGCCCUGGGAACACAGGACUGUCUCGUUUCUUAUGAGUCAUUGUUUAUAAGCUAAAGAUGGAGGUCAGACUGUAAGCAACGACUGAUGCUAGUUUUGCAACCUAACGAUACACCCUGAACUUCAUUCUUCAAUCUGUUUUCCCACAACGACAUUUUCCAACGACCAACGGUUGAGCUCUGUUUGGGGCCCAUCAGGCAGGGAUGUCAUGCCCAAUGGACUCAGCCUGAAACAGGGCCUCAUGGGCCUGCCCCGGGGGCCACCGAAGUCAGAAGGCGGCAGCGGCUAGCGCCCAGUGCUCCCCGGAGGGAGGCGUUUUCCUGAAGUCAAGAAUAUAAAAAUCAUCGUCCUUCAAAAAGCAGUAUCUCUUCCAUGAGCACCAGUCCCUGGACUAACAAGACUUGUCUGUGGAUUGACUUAUUUCACAACAGCCAUGUAAAAAACUAAGCGCAUGUAAAAAGGUACAGCGAUGCAGGGAGAAUGUUCUGAGGUGAAUGUCAUAAAGCUCAGGUGUUAUCUU